AUGCAAUUAACAGGACGCCAGCCAGG
rnacentral:piRNA from 1 species